CUAGCACAAACUUUAUCCUAACUUCUCCUGUGCCAACUUGCUGCACAGCGUUUCCAAGACUUGAGAAGUAGGAACCUUACCUGCCCUUCCAGGACUGAGGAGAGGUAUUGCAGGAACAUGGAAAUCUAGGCGCCUGACAUCUGAAAGCUGCAGCUGGUUACUGCCACCAACCUGCUUGUAAGAGUAAAAGUGUCUAGGUCCCAUAAUGUAAUUUCCUGAUCCAGAUUCUGUGCUUCUGUUCUGAGUAAUGUUCCAGCAGGAAGGACGCUGGGGAUGGCACGGCCAAAACGAACCUCUGCUGGAGCAUUGUGCAGGCUGGAGACUCAGAAAAUACACCUGAAAAGUAUUUGUCUGCAAUAUCAGCUGUAUCUUCUUCUGAACAGCCAUUUCUUUUGCCUUUUAAAGAAUGAGAUGGGACUAAUCAUCUUCUUCCUAUGCGCUUAUGUACCAAAGACAGCAGCAGGUCAUUGCAAAUGGGCGGAAGUUCUGAAAGAUUUGGAGCAGAUCAAGACAUCCAAAGACAUUGACGUCAGUUUAUAUACUGCAAACACAGAUGAGGAUAAAGAAUGCCAAGAACCUGUAAUAAGAUGCUUUUUCUUAGAGACAAAAGUGAUUCUUCAAGAAUGUCUUAUCAAAAAUUGUAGUAAAACACAGGAUGUAUUUAACAUCUGGAAAAAUGGAAAUGCAAGGUUAGAAAAUAGCAAGUUGAAUUCCACAAUAUCAGCAAAAUGCAAGGAAUGUGAAGAGUAUGAAGAAAAAAAUUUUGCAGAAUUUAUUCAGAGUUUUGUAAAGGUUAUACAGAAGGAAUGUAAACACUGACCAAAAGACACAAGCUGGGAACCAAGAUGCUUCCAUGAAUGUCUUCAGAGAAAUUAGGUUAUCGGCAACAAUAAACUGGAAAGCACAUCACUUAAAACUCCUACUUACAUAGCAUAACAUGUAAACAGAGAGUAAUACAAUCCCUGUAAUUCACAAUGUAUUCAUAACUGAAUACAUACAAAUGAUAUUACUUAUGAAAUACAAAUGAAAGGAAUUUUACAGGGUUUAAAGUUUCUUAUUGACUUACAGUGUCUUUAUUUUUUGGUAAGUCCAUGGGAAAAGAAAUCCUGCCUAACUCACCAACUUUUCAACAAAUUUCUUUAAAAAGAUCUCAAGAUAUCUGCAGUGGGAACCUCCUCAUGAGCAUCAGUUCAGGGCUAACUGAAUGGGGUUUCAGCAAAAAGCUGUUCUAUUAUUAAUAAUAAUAUAAAAUUAUCAUACCUGUUAAAGCUUUGGCUAUAGCUAUUUUUCUUAUGUGAAACAUUUACCAUCUUGUGCUCCUAAAAGAUCCUAGUUCAUCUGUCACUUCUGUUCUUAGUCAUGUCUGACAGUUCUUCUUGCUAUUUUUUUUCUCAUUAGCAUUUCUUCAACAAACUAGUGUCAAAGCAUAAGCUGAGGCGUAUUGGUCUUAAAUGUCUGUUGGCUACCUCUUAAUAUAUUUAUUUUUAUUAUGGUUUUCAGGUAAACCCAAUUACUUGUUUUACCUAAGAAUUAAAAGUAAAAAAUUGGAAUAUUUAUUUAAAGAUCCUUCCUUGCCUUUUUUCCCUUUUGUACAAGGGUAGCAUAAUGGUAUUAAAAAUUAUCUCCAGUCUUCUCAACAGAUAGUAACGCUGAUGCCUGGUUCCACUGUCCAAAGACAGAACAUGCUUCAUUAGUUCUUUUGUUACCUCUGACACAGACACUACCCUAGUCAUUACUUUAGCAAAUUAGUUCCUUUAGCAAUUGCCAAAGAUUUAAAUGUAAAUUUCAACCAAUGAAAAGUAGUAUCAUCUGAACAAAGGAGGUGACCAAGUCUCUAACACACUUUAAAAAAGUAAUUCUAUGUGGUAAAAAUCUUUUCUAUGUAGUAGACUUCGUAACUUCGGUCUCCUUUUGGGAUAACAACUUUGAAGGCAGGAAUCACUUUUGACCAGUUAUUGGAAAUCAUGAUAACUGUAUUUCUAAGACUCAGUGCAACGUCACCUGUCCUCUGGUAGUUUUGAAAUGUUGCAUGGUCUUCUUUCAGCUCUUUCUAAAGUUUUCUUCAUGAUUAAUAACCAUGUCAUCCCACCUACUAUCCAUAAUAAGUAAUUCUUUCCUCAAGGUACCUCCAUUUCUCCAUUUUCAUUUGAUAAAUGGCUGAGUCACUCAGCUGUCCACUUACCAGGAAGGAAAUCUCAAUCUCAUUAUGGCAACAAAUACACUGCCUGGUACUCCCUUAUUCUUGGGUUACUCCCAACAGUCAAUCUUCAGCACUCUGAGGAGCUGAAUCUCCAGUAAACUACAAAAGAAAGAACAUAAACGUGCGUGCAGCGGAUGUCAUCUUCCAGGUGACUUAUAGACUAACUGAUCAGUAAAUUCAUAAGCAGAUUGAUAUCGGGAUUGAACAAUGGCAGAGGUAUCAGAGAAGAAAUAAAUUAUUUGCCACUGCAAAACAUCAGUGAAAGAAGUGUUUAUUAUACAGUAUAUAGUUUGAAUGAAGUAAACUGGUCCUACAUUUUAAAUUUUACCUUAAAACAAUGGUAUGCAUUGAAUAUGAUCUUCUCUUACCUGAUGUCACAUGCAUAGGCAAGCUAAUACCAAGUAACAGCUGUGGUCUUUAAUCAAAGAGAGAAAGGGAUUUUUGUUAUUUCUAGCUUUGAAGAAGCUUGAGACACAGUCCAGCAGUAUUCUUGAUGAGAGAAACAAACAGUUCAUUUGCUCAGAUAGUUUUCUUUUUCUUGGCCAUUGUGAAAAUCAGUACCUGAUUAAUUUUAUUUUGUUUUUCAUUAAAACACUUACAGUGGCAAGCAUGUUAAAUACUGUGAAUUUGUCUUUCCGAAAGAAUAUUGCUAAGCCUGUGACCACUCAGCUUGCGACCCUGUUAGCCACUGUCUGUUAGACAUUGGCCAUAUCUCUUUUAUUUUGUUUCACCUCCUUCUGUUCCAGAUGCAUAUUCUAGAGCCAAAAAAGACCAUUUGCUAAUCUAGUUCUCCAGUAUUUCUCCUGGGCUAUUCCUUUUCCUGAGAGCUAAGCUGCCAAUUGAAAGCUUUACCAUGGCAUGAGUCCUAUGGUUAUAAGAAAUGCUCUGAUCAGUAUAAAGGAUGGACUAAAUUAAUGCCAGGUUAAUAUUUUUUUUUUAUUGAGGAAAUUUAUACAUAUCCCGGAAUAAAAGACUCAAUAUGAUUAAGACAUGCAUGAAUCUGAUCUGACUUAGUACUGCAGCCAGACCAGUAAAAACUAAUUUAGGAUGCUCACUUUUGAAGUAAACGCACCUAGGUUGAAGGAAGUAUUUCUUCUACACAAGGUCUAGUCAUUUGUGUGGUAUUUACUAUCUAAUCUUUUCCAACUACUGCCGGUAAAUGUUAAGAAAGAGAUUAGUACUGUAUUUUCUCCAAUUAAUCGAACUCAGUUUGGGACUCAGGUGACUCAUAGCAGAGUGUUUCUGUGUUCAAAAAGAAAAAUAGCUCUACCUUUUGACACCAGAUGAGAAGAAUAAUGCUCUUGCACAGAAGUUUUGGACUACAUCAGUCUGUGUUCCUGACUUUGCAAUAAUUUAAAAUACAUUUUUUCCUUUCCUUUCCUGGUGUUCAGUAUCCAUAUUUCUGUCUAUAUUUUAACAGGAUAAUGCAAGUAGCACUAGUGCAGAUGGUGUCUGACAUCCUCUGCCUUCUUGUUGUUUUAUUAAAUCCUGAAGAUAAAUAUUGGUUGCUCAUCAAUAGAACUUUGCCUCCAGUGGCUCCAAAUAUUUGAGCACCCAUUGAUCAGGCACCAAAGGGGGCUUUUGGAAGAUUUUGGAAAUUCCCGUCUGGAGUCCCUGGGCCAAGGUCAUGGUGGGACAUCUUGGCAGGAGGAUUAAGAAUGUGAGAAUGAACUAGCUGCUCAGAACAAGUGGAUGAAGCCAAAGCAAGAGACACAAACUUAACUGUAUCUUUAAGUCAGUAUUUGUGUUCUUGAGAAUAGAAAUAGAAUUAUUUUUUAUCCAAAGUGGCCUUCACUUGCAGCUCAUCCAAAUGAAAGCAUGCCUUACUAGCAACAGAAAGAGCAACAGCAUUGCAUACCAGCAGCAUCAGGAGACUGAUCAACUUGACACUGAGCCAUAUUUAAAAGGGGACUAUUCUGUAGUGCAUAAAGAGCUAUACCUUCUCUAGAGGCAGAGAAGAAACAAUUAAACUUUGGUACUAUGCUUUCUAUGGAAUAUUAAUGACAUGCACUUAAGGAGGAAAAGAAAGCCAUAAAUGAGUAGGUUACGUAUUUUGCAAUAAUAAGAUCAAAUCAGCAUCUCUAAGCUGUUUCUCCUUCCAACUAUUUUCUUCCAAAACCUGGAAAUGUUGGAGAAUUCUCAUCUCCUUAUCAAAAGGUUUAAUUAGGCCAAUAAUCAACACCUUUAAAUGAAGAUAUAAAGAAAUAAAAAUCCUCCAAAACCUCAUCCACUUCUGAAUGCUUAUUAGCAGUGGAAUUUUCAUGGUCAAAUCAAGCUGAUCAGGUAUCAAUUGGAUUUGUAAAAAUUGGGAAGAAGAUGGGCAAAUACAAUAAAGAAUUAAACAUCUGGUUAAAUGACUGACUUAUCUGUACCAUGGAAUAGGCAGAUCACUACCCCUAAAAGUGAAAAAUGUAUGGGGGAAAAAGAAUUGAAGUUAGAACAUAAACAGAAAUCAGGGGGAUUUCUGGGAAAUUUCUUGAGCAAUACCUAAAGCUAAAGAAGCUUAUAUAAACUUUAGCAUACAAAUGACUGUCUUAUCCUGGUUCUCUUCCUUCUGAGUCUGAAUCAGAUUUUUCAGAGAUGGAUGGUGACUGUUGGGUAAAAUCUUUAAAGUCUCAGCUGGAUGGUGAAUGGGGAGGGAUGCAGUUGAAGAAAUGUCAGGAGUUAUCUAAGGUGUGAGGCACAAUCUUUAGAACAUGUCCUUGCAGACAAAAGCAAUGUCUUGAUGUAAAUGCCUUCAUCCUCAACUAGUUUAUUAAAGUCCGUUUGUAAAAACAUAUGUUCAACAGAUAUGGAUCAUGAUGGAGUUCCUAUCAACUGUGACUGUAAUGCUGUGUCAGCCAAGAAAAGAAUUGAAUCUUUCAUCCUAUUCCUUCAAAAUCUGAUUUCCCUGGGGAACAUAAAUGGGUUUCUAUUCCAAUGGGAUGUCUCCACAUUUCUUUCAAAUUUCUAAAACCAGAUAUUUACUUAAGAUUUAUCUUCUAAUACAGCUAGUCUCUCAUCAUAUUAAAAUUCCCUAAGCAAGAAAAAACAACAGCAUUGUUUCAGCUCCAGACUGUAAUUCCAUGAAGUCCUAAACCACACAGACUUUGCCCCUUUGUUUCUUUUCCUAGUGAGACUCGGCAUGCCUUGGGGCUUUCCACUUCAGUAUGUACAGGUCAGAGUUCAGUCCUCAUGUACAAUUACAGAAACUCUGUAGUCACCCAGAUAAACCAACCUCCUAUGCGGCUUAAUAAAUCCUCCAGCAACCUCACUUUCAUACGUCUCACAUCAACCACUUUUACAGCAUAAAAAGUAUUAUCUACACUUUCUGUUGAGCAGAAGAGUAUUUGUCAAAGUUAGAGGCUUUAACAAAGUUUGCGGCUCACUGAAACUCUUCUGCCUUACAUUACUUCUCCCUGUGCCCUUAGCUUCUUCAGCAUAAAAAAGAGGUUCAGUAAUUCUGAUUCCCUACUUUGUGAUUACAGUUUUAUAUGAAAUACUGCUUUCUUUGAACCUGACGAAAUAGAGCUGAGAAUUAGCCAAAAUUUUUCAGUGCCAAAACUUUCUAUAUCUUUCUGUAAGUCAUUGUGCACUUCAAAUUAAAUAAUCAUGUGUAAUAUGUGAUGAAAAAUUAUCUGAUGCUCAGGAGUUAACA